rnacentral:lncRNA from 1 species
GGUAAAUUGUAGGGGGGGCAAGCCAUCCAUCACAUAAAACUACAUUGAAAACACAUCAAAUUCAGAGCCCUGACAGGCAGAUAGGUCUCUGCUCUGAAGGAAGCAAAGUUCUGAUGUCACAGAUCCCUUUUCCUCACAGGAGGAGGUGAUGAUUAAGCCCAGGAUCCUUCUUUCCACACAGUGACAGCGACCACGAUUUGCUGCUCGGUGUCCACAGCCCCACAUGGACACAAGCCUGGUGACAGCCCUGUCAGCCCGCUGUAACUUUUGGUUUUCUUUAAGCUUCUAGGACAGGAUCUGCUUGACAAAAGGUGAAAGAUGGUUUGAGUGAGGUUAUCAGAGGGAUAAAACAAUACUUGAAGCAGCGCCAGACCAGUUUUCCUGCUGUUCUCCUGUAGUCAUUGCACAGGUUUUCGGAAAUUGUUUCCCUGCCCUUUUCACCCUCACAUUCCUCUCCUUCCAACAGAUUGAGGCCAAAGCAGAAGAGCAAAGUGGAUUAAUUGGUUUUUUUUCCCUUCAGAAAUCUGGCAUCUUCGCUUUCACACUUCUUGAUAUUCACCAUCACCAGUGGAAAAUAAAAGGAAGUUUAAAAUUCAGAGCUUGGACUGCCUAUGGAUUCUAACACUGACUAGGGAUUUAAAAUCCUUCAUCUCUUUUCAAGUGAUGUUGGCAACCUAAUUUUGACUCCAUAUUUCCAUGAUGCUGAAGGAAAAAGAGAAAAAGAAUAAUUACAAAAAAGAAAAUAAGCAGAAAUUGUUUCAGUGAGGUGUUUUGAUCACCCCCAUGAGCUGUUUUCUUGCUGUGUUGUGCGUGACUGAAAAUCAGAAAGUGAAUCUGCUUAUUUCCAAAUGGAAGCUGACCAGACUCGUUUCAUCAAACUGCAGCAAAAAUAGCGAACAAGGGAAAAAUAAACGUAGGUGAUUAGAAUAAUUUCCA